AGAGCUCGUAUUCAGCAGUGAUUUUAUUGUGAGUAGGCGACUCAUGAGCACCUACAAUGACUGGUAUUCCAAAUUCCGAACUCAACCUGCUGCAGUCAGCAUUUUGGAUAUUUUUGUUGAAUAUGGGAAUGAGGGAAGCAUUGUACUGCUCCAAGCCUGCUUAGAUCAAAUGAAAUUUCAGAGCGAAGACUUUUAGUCAAAGCCAGAUCUUCUAUCAGCUAUCUUUAGAUACUUUUUGGGUAGACCAAAUUUCGCCACAGUUUUCUGUGAAGCACUGAGAAGUAAAGUGAUGAGUGAAGGAUUUCUAGAAGGUCUCUCUAAGCAAUUGCAUUUGUCUACACCUGAGAAAAUUGUUGUUGGUCUUGCUCUGUCAGAUUCAGGAAAUACGGAUUUCAGAAUCAGAGAUGAACAAUCUAAUUCUGCAGAAUUGCUUUCCUUGGAAACAGAAGAUGUAGAGAAAAGACAUCAAAGAAAUAUUCAAGAUCAUCCACUAUUCUUCGGAAUCACAUUGGGGCUGUUGGCUGAGAUAAUAAAUUCAAGGUCUAUAAAGUUGUUGAUGCAUGUAAGAAUGUUCUGAGAGGUUUACAUGACAGCAAGAUUGCCCAAAGGGAGCUGGAUCGGCAAUCACAACAGCCAUCACAAUUGCAGAGAUUCUGAAGAAAAAAGGGCUGGCUAUUGAGAAGAGGAUUUUGAUGUCUACAGUUGACAUGAAGGAUGAAUCCAAGGGCCGUCUCAUUCCAAAAGGGAAGAUUGAGGUAUUGCUGGAGAAGACUGAGAAAUUCGAUGAUCUGAUGGUUGUCGUUGCUGCUAAAGGGAGGCAGUUGGAGAUAAUAAAGCAUGAUGGCAAACCAUAGCUCUAGAGUUCCAUCAUAUUCUGAUUUUCAUUUCUUUUUUCCUCCUAGUGUCCUGUUUAAGUGAUAGAGGUUAGGGAAUUUUCAAGUAGAGCUGCUGCUGUCAUUAACCGAAAAGAGCAGAGUUGAGAGAGGCACUGUGCGUGUAGACAUCUUGGGAUCAUUUCAUCUGUAUGGCCUUUUUCUUUUCUCCUUUUAUGGGAGUUGUUGAUGAUACAGACAAUCUGUUGUUUGGUGGUCAGACUGCUAUUGUAUUGUUUGAGCCCUGUUUCUGCA